GUGCACACUUUGGCAGCACAUAUACUAAAAUUGGGACGAUACAGAGAAGAUUAACAUGGCCCCUGUGCACGGAUGACAUGCAAAUUUGUGAAGCAUGCCAUAUUUAA